AGGUAUAUACCUCAGUGGUAGAGUGCCUGCUUAGCAUGCAUGAGGUCCUGAGUUCAAUCCCCAGUACCUC
rnacentral:tRNA from 1 species